rnacentral:lncRNA from 1 species
ACACACACACAGAGUGAAAAAGGCGAGCCACCAAAACCCAUCUCCAGUCUCCUCCCGGGGGCCCCCAGCCCGCCUCUGUGCCACUUUGCAUCCCACGCCGGAGGAGGCAUUAACGAGACCGGGUAAGGCUUUUUAAACGGUCCAAGGUGUAGAGCCAUACUUCAGGAGGAUCCUCAGAAGUUUUGGACAAGCCUCCCCAAAUGUGGCAGGUGCUGUGCUGGCCAUUGGUGACCCAAAGAUGAUGAAAAAUAUGUUCCUGCCCACAAGGAGUUAGCGACCUACUGGGCUUUCCUCUUGCUGAUGACAUGAUUCCUGUUUGAAUCUGUUGACAAGAUUCUGAAAGCUGAACAGAGAAUUCUGGCACUGCACUGGCAUUUCAAGAAAUAGAUAAUAUCAAGGACAUCAGGACACCGGGAGUGGGAGAGAUUGGACUGGGAGACUCAGCAGGAUGUCUUCCAAGCGACCAGCCUCUCCGUAUGGGGAAGCAGAUGGAGAGGUAGCCAUGGUGACAAGCAGACAGAAAGUGGAAGAAGAGGAGAGUGACGGGCUCCCAGCCUUUCACCUUCCCUUGCAUGAAGUUGAUGGCAAUAAAGUUAUGUCUUCAUUUGCCCCACACAACUCAUCUACCUCACCUCAGAAGGCAGAAGAAGGUGGGCGACAGAGUGGCGAGUCCUUGUCUAGUACAGCCCUGGGAACUCCUGAACGGCGCAAGGGCAGUUUAGCUGAUGUUGUUGACACCUUGAAGCAGAGGAAAAUGGAAGAGCUCAUCAAAAACGAGCCGGAAGAAACCCCCAGUAUUGAAAAACUACUCUCAAAGGACUGGAAAGACAAGCUUCUUGCAAUGGGAUCGGGGAACUUUGGCGAAAUAAAAGGGACUCCCGAGAGCUUAGCUGAGAAAGAAAGGCAACUCAUGGGUAUGAUCAACCAGCUGACCAGCCUCCGAGAGCAGCUGUUGGCUGCCCACGAUGAGCAGAAGAAACUAGCUGCCUCUCAGAUUGAGAAACAGCGUCAGCAAAUGGAGCUGGCCAAGCAGCAACAAGAACAAAUUGCAAGACAGCAGCAGCAGCUUCUACAGCAACAACACAAAAUCAAUUUGCUCCAGCAACAGAUCCAGGU